AGGCGCUCCGUCUCCAUUUCCCGGACAUCCGGACUGGGCACCUAGCGUGUUUGUGUUCAGAAAGGCUGACCCUGCAGCGCUGACAAAGAAGUGCAACCGUUUCGAGCGUAGCUGGAAACGAAAACGCGUUUCAGUUAACUACGAUGUCUCCUCAAGUGGCGAUCCAGCGGCCCAUGCAGGAUGCUCUGAUGCGGUUAGUUCUGGUACGGAACCAGACACUGAUGCAGAAGCAGGCAAGCAGAUAGAGAAG
rnacentral:lncRNA from 1 species